CGGAGGGUGCAAGCGUUAUCCGGAUUCACUGGGUUUAAAGGGUGCGUAGGUGGGCAAGUAAGUCAGUGGUGAAAUCUCCGGGCUUAACCCGGAAACUGCCAUUGAUACUAUUUGUCUUGAAUACUGUGGAGGUCAGCGGAAUAUGUCAUGCAGCGGUGAAAUGCUUAGAUAUGACAUAGAACACCAAUUGCGAAGGCAGCUGGCUACACAAAUAUUGACACUGAGGCACGAAAGCGUGGGGAUCAAACAGGAUUAGAUACCCUGGUAGUCCACGCCCUAAACUAUGGAUACUCGACAUUUGCGAUAAACUGCAAGUGUCUGAGCGAAAGCAUUAAGUAUCCCACCUGGAAGUACGAUCGCAAGAUUG
rnacentral:rRNA from 1 species